CUAGUGACUUAUCAGGAUAGUGGCACAAUGACAUCUAAGAAUUAUCCCGGGACCUACCCCAAUCACACUGUUUGCGAAAAGACAAUUACAGUACCAAAGGGGAAAAGACUGAUUCUGAGGUUGGGAGAUUUGGAUAUCGAAUCCCAGACCUGUGCUUCUGACUAUCUUCUCUUCACCAGCUCUUCAGAUCAAUAUGGUUAUUUCAAGCUGAAGUGUCUUCCUGGAGCAGUUCUUUGUUCUUCAAAGAGGCCCAUGUAAUAUGAAACUUUGAAAGGACUCAAAUAUAAGGUGUUGCCU
rnacentral:lncRNA from 10 species